rnacentral:rRNA from 1 species
ACAGCAGUAGCCGCGGUAAUACGUAGGGUGCGAGCGUUAAUCGGAAUUACUGGGCGUAAAGCGUGCGCAGGCGGUUCGUUAAGACAGAUGUGAAAUCCCCGGGCUUAACCUGGGAACUGCAUUUGUGACUGGCGAGCUAGAGUAUGGCAGAGGGGGGUAGAAUUCCACGUGUAGCAGUGAAAUGCGUAGAGAUGUGGAGGAAUACCGAUGGCGAAGGCAGCCCCCUGGGCCAAUACUGACGCCCAUGCACGAAAGCGUGGGGAGCAAACAGGAUUAGAUACCCCAGUAGUCCCUGUCUCUUAUAU